AGCUUUGCACAGUGGCAGUAUCGUAGCCAAUGAGGUUUAUCCAAGGCUCGAUUACUGCUAAUCUAGUGAGACCCAAGGUAAGUAACAUGGCUGGUGAAUGGCUAAGCUAGAAGUGCAUCCAGAUCUGUCCAGUCCAGGGCCUGG
rnacentral:snRNA from 1 species